UACGGUGAUAAAGACACAAAGUUCAUCGGAACUAAAUACAAACCAACCAAGAAAAUAAGUUUGACUCCAUCGUUUCAAUAUUCGUUCUAACUGCAACAGUGCCCAUCCCUUCUCUGCAAUUAUAGGAAGAUGACGGUAACUUGGCAAAGAAGUGGUCUACUAAAGAACAUCUCUACCCAAUCCGCAAGCUUGAUCAGUCUAAACUCACAUUAAAAGAAAAGAACUAUGACAAGGUUUUAGUGGUUAUAAGCAAUGAAGAUUCAAGUGAUUGGAUGAACUAGUCUAAAAUGUGAUUUGGGUUUUGAAAGAUUGGCUCUUGAGGGCAAAGAGUAGCUGGAAUCAGAUCUUUAAGUUGCAGGACUAAAUCAAAUGGCUGGUGUUUGAUGGUUAUUUGGAGUGUGGUUUAAUUAUAUUUUGGAGGGUUUAAUUUGAGAGAUUAUAUAAGUUUACCACAAUAUUUAUGUUUAUUGUGCUUGAGUUCAUAUUAGUAGGUUUCUAAAAAAUUGCUCAAGUUUUAUUGACAA